GUGGUGGACCUGUCAGAGUCCAGAACGACACAUUUUCUUUGUUUAAAGUUCUUUUCUCGUCCUCAGAGUUAUAUACUCUUCCGAUUGUGAUUGUCCCCUCUUCCUACACUGUCCAGCCGCCACCUUGGCUCUUAAGACUCUUCGCCAUUCCCUGGCCCUCCACGUGAUAAUCUGUAUCAUUCUGAUUUGGGUCUGAUUAUGUCUGUCUGACUCUUUGCAACCC